AGGCUUGUAGCUCAGGUGGUUAGAGCGCACCCCCUGAUAAGGGUGAGGUCGGUGGUUCAAGUCCACUCAGGCCUACCA
rnacentral:tRNA from 6 species